rnacentral:rRNA from 1 species
AGAGUUUGAUCCUGGCUCAGGAUGAACGCUAGCGGCAGGCCUAACACAUGCAAGUCGAGGGGUAGAACACUUCGGUGUUUGAGACCGGCGCACGGGUGCGUAACGCGUAUGCAAUCUACCUUGUACAGGGGAAUAGCCCAGAGAAAUUUGGAUUAAUGCCCCAUAGUAUAUAACCUUCGCAUGUUGGUUAUAUUAAAGUUCCAACGGUACAAGAUGAGCAUGCGUCCCAUUAGUUAGUUGGUAAGGUAACGGCUUACCAAGACGAUGAUGGGUAGGGGUCCUGAGAGGGAGAUCCCCCACACUGGUACUGAGACACGGACCAGACUCCUACGGGAGGCAGCAGUGAGGAAUAUUGGUCAAUGGGCGAGAGCCUGAACCAGCCAAGUCGCGUGAAGGAAGAAGGUUCUAUGGAUUGUAAACUUCUUUUGUAAGGGAAUAAAAAGAGUUACGUGUAACUUAUUGUAUGUACUUUACGAAUAAGGAUCGGCUAACUCCGUGCCAGCAGCCGCGGUAAUACGGAGGAUCCAAGCGUUAUCCGGAAUCAUUGGGUUUAAAGGGUCCGUAGGCGGUCUUAUAAGUCAGUGGUGAAAGCCCAUCGCUCAACGAUGGAACUGCCAUUGAUACUGUAAGACUUGAAUGCUUAGGAAGUAACUAGAAUAUGUAGUGUAGCGGUGAAAUGCUUAGAUAUUACAUGGAAUACCAAUUGCGAAGGCAGGUUACUACUAAGUGAUUGACGCUGAUGGACGAAAGCGUGGGGAGCGAACAGGAUUAGAUACCCUGGUAGUCCACGCCGUAAACGAUGGAUACUAGCUGU